GACAGAGGGGGCAAGCGUUGCUCGGAAUUACUGGGCGUAAAGGGCGCGUAGGCGGAAUGGCAAGUCGGUCGUGAAAUCCUUCGGCUCAACCGAAGAACGUCGAUCGAAACUGCCGUUCUUGAGGAUUGCAGAGGAGACUGGAAUUCCCGGCGUAGCGGUGAAAUGUGUAGAGAUCGGGAGGAACACCGGUGGCGAAGGCGGGUCUCUGGGCAAUUCCUGACGCUGAGGCGCGAAAGCGUGGGGAGCAAACAGG
rnacentral:rRNA from 1 species